AAGACCUUGCGCUUUUGGAGCGGCCGAUGCCUGAUUAGCUUGUUGGUAAGGUAAAAGCUUACCAAGGCUUCGAUCAGUAGCUGGUCUGAGAGGACGGCCAGCCACACUGGGACUGAGACACGGCCCAGACUCCUACGGGAGGCAGCAGUGGGGAAUUUUGGACAAUGGGGGCAACCCUGAUCCAGCCAUGCCGCGUGAGUGAAGAAGGCCUUCGGGUUGUAAAGCUCUUUCAGCCGGAACGAAACGGUUACGGUUAAUACCCGUGACUACUGACGGUACCGGAAGAAGAAGCACCGGCUAACUACGUGCCAGCAGCCGCGGUAAUACGUAGGGUGCGAGCGUUAAUCGGAAUUACUGGGCGUAAAGCGUGCGCAGGUGGUUUUGUAAGUCAGAUGUGAAAGCCCCGGGCCCAACCUGGGAACU
rnacentral:rRNA from 1 species